rnacentral:rRNA from 1 species
AGUGGCGAACGGGUGAGUAACAUAUCGGAACGUACCGAGCAGUGGGGGAUAACUAAUCGAAAGAUUAGCUAAUACCGCAUAUCUUCUGAGGAAGAAAGCAGGGGACCAUUUGGCCUUGCGCUGUUUGAGCGGCCGAUAUCUGAUUAGCUAGUUGGUGGGGUAAAGGCCUACCAAGGCGACGAUCAGUAGCGGGUCUGAGAGGAUGAUCCGCCACACUGGGACUGAGACACGGCCCAGACUCCUACGGGAGGCAGCAGUGGGGAAUUUUGGACAAUGGGCGCAAGCCUGAUCCAGCCAUGCCGCGUGUCUGAAGAAAGGGCUUCGGGUUGUAAAGGACUUUUGUCAGGGAAGAAAAGGGCGGGGUUAAUACCCCUUCUGAUGACG